GACGAACCGUGCGAACGUUGUUCGGAAUCACUGGGCUUAAAGGGCGCGUAGGCGGGCCUCCAAGUCCGGGGUGAAAUCCUCCAGCCUAACUGGAGAAGAGCCUCGGAGACUGGGGGCCUCGAGGGAGGUAGGGGCGUGCGGAACUAUGGGUGGAGCGGUGAAAUGCAUUGAUAUCCAUAGGAACUCCGGUGGCGAAGGCGGCACGCUGGACCUCUUCUGACGCUGAGGCGCGAAAGCGUGGGGAGCGAACAGG
rnacentral:rRNA from 1 species